GUCUACGGCCAUACCACCCUGAACGCGCCCGAUCUCGUCUGAUCUCGGAAGAAGGGUAGAGGGAGCGGGAGAGAGAAUCCACAAGCAGACUCCCUGCUAAGCAUGGAACCUGAUGCAGAGC
rnacentral:rRNA from 1 species